rnacentral:lncRNA from 1 species
CGGCGGCGGCGCGCGCGUGGGGAGCUUUCUUCUCUCUCCAAGCUGUUUAAGCUUUCAUGGUAAGUGAACAUAUAUAUAUUGCUCAACUUCUCUUCCUCUAAGCGAUGUGGGACAAGUCCCCUUACAUCAUAAAUGAUGAUACUUUGGGCUGUUGAUUACACAGGCCCAAGUCAUUUGCUUUUCACAUAUUUCAUUAAAGCCUAAAGGCUAUUAAUGGAUCCAACAAUCCCCCACAUGAAUAGAAAUGACUCUUCUAAACAUAUGCAGACUAAAUGCAGACUCGAU